rnacentral:rRNA from 1 species
GAUGAACGCUAGCGGCAGGCCUAACACAUGCAAGUCGAGGGGUAACAUGAGUGCUUGCACUUGAUGACGACCGGCGCACGGGUGAGUAACGCGUAUACAAUCUACCUUAUACUAGGGAAUAGCCCAGAGAAAUUUGGAUUAAUGCUCUAUAGUCUAUUAAUAUGGCUUCAUAUAAAUAGUAAAGGUAACGGUAUAAGAUGAGUAUGCGUCCUAUUAGUUAGUUGGUAAGGUAACGGCUUACCAAGACUACGAUAGGUAGGGGCCCUGAGAGGGGGAUCCCCCACACUGGUACUGAGACACGGACCAG